AUUGAACGCUGGCGGCAGGCCUAACACAUGCAAGUCGAGCGGUAGCACAGAGAGCUUGCUCUCGGGUGACGAGCGGCGGACGGGUGAGUAAUGUCUGGGAAACUGCCUGAUGGAGGGGGAUAACUACUGGAAACGGUAGCUAAUACCGCAUAACGUCGCAAGACCAAAGUGGGGGACCUUCGGGCCUCAUGCCAUCAGAUGUGCCCAGAUGGGAUUAGCUAGUAGGUGGGGUAACGGCUCACCUAGGCGACGAUCCCUAGCUGGUCUGAGAGGAUGACCAGCCACACUGGAACUGAGACACGGUCCAGACUCCUACGGGAGGCAGCAGUGGGGAAUAUUGCACAAUGGGCGCAAGCCUGAUGCAGCCAUGCCGCGUGUGUGAAGAAGGCCUUCGGGUUGUAAAGCACUUUCAGCGGGGAGGAAGGCGAUAAGGUUAAUAACCUUGUCGAUUGACGUUACCCGCAGAAGAAGCACCGGCUAACUCCGUGCCAGCAGCCGCGGUAAUACGGAGGGUGCAAGCGUUAAUCGGAAUUACUGGGCGUAAAGCGCACGCAGGCGGUCUGUCAAGUCGGAUGUGAAAUCCCCGGGCUCAACCUGGGAACUGCAUUCGAAACUGGCAGGCUAGAGUCUUGUAGAGGGGGGUAGAAUUCCAGGUGUAGCGGUGAAAUGCGUAGAGAUCUGGAGGAAUACCGGUGGCGAAGGCGGCCCCCUGGACAAAGACUGACGCUCAGGUGCGAAAGCGUGGGGAGCAAACAGGAUUAGAUACCCUGGUAGUCCACGCCGUAAACGAUGUCGAUUUGGAGGUUGUGCCCUUGAGGCGUGGCUUCCGGAGCUAACGCGUUAAGUCGACCGCCUGGGGAGUACGGCCGCAAGGUUAAAACUCAAAUGAAUUGACGGGGGCCCGCACAAGCGGUGGAGCAUGUGGUUUAAUUCGAUGCAACGCGAAGAACCUUACCUGGUCUUGACAUCCACAGAACUUAGCAGAGAUGCUUUGGUGCCUUCGGGAACUGUGAGACAGGUGCUGCAUGGCUGUCGUCAGCUCGUGUUGUGAAAUGUUGGGUUAAGUCCCGCAACGAGCGCAACCCUUAUCCUUUGUUGCCAGCGAUUCGGUCGGGAACUCAAAGGAGACUGCCAGUGAUAAACUGGAGGAAGGUGGGGAUGACGUCAAGUCAUCAUGGCCCUUACGACCAGGGCUACACACGUGCUACAAUGGCAUAUACAAAGAGAAGCGACCUCGCGAGAGCAAGCGGACCUCAUAAAGUAUGUCGUAGUCCGGAUUGGAGUCUGCAACUCGACUCCAUGAAGUCGGAAUCGCUAGUAAUCGUAGAUCAGAAUGCUACGGUGAAUACGUUCCCGGGCCUUGUACACACCGCCCGUCACACCAUGGGAGUGGGUUGCAAAAGAAGUAGGUAGCUUAACCUUCGGGAGGGCGCUUACCACUUUGUGAUUCAUGACUGGGGUG
rnacentral:rRNA from 1 species